CUUCACCGAGGACUUGCUCUAAGCCCCUGGCACCAGUCUUUUCAAGCCGGCGACUUCGUACUAAAUGUGAGCAUUCGUACGCAUUUAAACGCCUUGUCUUCGCAAUCCUUUCCACUGAAGAUAAACACCCUGUCAUGGCUCUUUGGCUAAAAAAGAUUCGUGGCAAUCCGGGAACGAAAAAUAAGUGAUAUUCGUUAAAAAUUAAAUGCAUUUUCGCGUACCGUGGACUCUUGGCACGGCGCUUUCCUCGGGUUCCUCCGUAAUGUCCAGGCCAUCUAGUUCUUCAGAGUCGACUUCGCUGAAGACUUUCAUCUGCAUUGGGAGAGAAAAUCGCACAUUACAUGUACCUAGACGCACGUGUACGUUAGCGUGUUAAGGCUUACUUUUACCGAUAGCAAUACUAGGAAAAUUAGCAAACAGGUAGUUUAUUGGCAAAAGCCUGUAAUCAAGAGCAAGCUUUUAUAUUUCAAGCAUUUGGUUUCUAGCUUCUAUUAAUUUACCCGGUUACAGGCGGGAUCUUUCCAUCGUAUAUAGUCUUCCAAAUAAAAUCUAAUUCGUGCGUUUUAUCAGUU